rnacentral:misc_RNA from 1 species
ACAAACUUGGUCAUUUAGAGGAAGUACAAGUCGUAACAAGGUUUCCGUAGGUGAACCUGCGGAAGGAUCAUUAACAAAUCACGGUGUUGUUGCGCGUUGACAUAACAUUAUAUCAACACCCAACAACAACACCACAUAUGUGCUCCGGGCAUUUCGUCUGGUUGCAUCAUUAUAUAUAUAUUCAUUAUUGUAUAGUUGUAUUUUUAGUUAUAAAAAAAUGUACACUUUUAACAAUGGAUCUCUUGGCUCUUGCAUCGAUGAAGAACGCAGC